AGAGUUUGAUCAUGGCUCAGGACGAACGCUGGCGGCGUGCCUAAUACAUGCAAGUCGAGCGCGUGAAGCAUUCUGAAGCCUUCGGGCGGACGGAUGCGGAGCGAGCGGCGGACGGGUGAGUAACACGUAGGCAACCUGCCUGCAAGUCUGGGAUAACUCCGGGAAACCGGGGCUAAUACCGGAUAGGCAUUGUGUACGCAUGUACAUGAUGUAAAAGGCGGAAUUUCUGUCGCUUGCAGAUGGGCCUGCGGCGCAUUAGCUUGUUGGUGGGGUAACGGCUCACCAAGGCGACGAUGCGUAGCCGACCUGAGAGGGUGGCCGGCCACACUGGGACUGAGACACGGCCCAGACUCCUACGGGAGGCAGCAGUAGGGAAUCUUCCGCAAUGGACGGAAGUCUGACGGAGCAACGCCGCGUGAGCGAAGAAGGUCUUCGGAUCGUAAAGCUCUGUUGUGAGGGAAGAACAAGGAUGGGAGUAACUGUCUAUUCUUUGACGGUACCUCACCAGAAAGCCACGGCUAACUACGUGCCAGCAGCCGCGGUAAUACGUAGGUGGCAAGCGUUGUCCGGAAUUAUUGGGCGUAAAGGGCGCGCAGGCGGUUCCUUAAGUCUGAUGUGAAACCUUGCGGCUUAACCGCAAGCGGUCAUUGGAAACUGGGGGACUUGAGUGCAGAAGAGGAGAGUGGAAUUCCACGUGUAGCGGUGAAAUGCGUAGAGAUGUGGAGGAACACCAGUGGCGAAGGCGGCUCUCUGGUCUGCAACUGACGCUGAGGCGCGAAAGCGUGGGUAGCGAACAGGAUUAGAUACCCUGGUAGUCCACGCCGUAAACGAUGAGUGCUAGGUGUUGGGGGGCACGCCCCUCAGUGCUGAAGUUAACACAUUAAGCACUCCGCCUGGGGAGUACGGCCACAAGGCUGAAACUCAAAGGAAUUGACGG
rnacentral:rRNA from 1 species